UACGAACGGUCCAAACGUUAUUCGGAAUCACUGGGCUUAAAGCGUCCGUAGGCGGCUCGGAAAGUAGGGUGUGAAAUCCCACGGCUCAACCGUGGAAUUGCGCUCUAAACUAUCGAGCCAGAGGGAGAUAGAGGUGAGCGGAACUGAUGGUGGAGCGGUGAAAUGCGUUGAUAUCAUCAGGAACACCGGAGGCGAAGGCGGCUCACUGGGUCUUUUCUGACGCUGAGGGACGAAAGCUAGGGGAGCGAACGGG
rnacentral:rRNA from 1 species